CGGCGCCGGCGUCAGCAGAUUGCACGGCUGCCGCCGCGGCUGAGACUGUGGCUGGGGCGCUCCGCUACCGCCGUCGUCGCAGCCAUGGCUCAGUACAAGGGCGCCGCGAGCGAGGCCGGCCGCGCCAUGCACCUGAUGAAGAAGCGGGAGAAGCAGCGCGAGCAGAUGGAGCAGAUGAAACAGCGGAUUGCCGAGGAGAACAUAAUGAAAUCCAACAUUGACAAGAAGUUCUCUGCACACUAUGAUGCUGUGGAGGCAGAGCUCAAGUCCAGCACUGUGGGUCUUGUGACCCUAAAUGACAUGAAGGCCAAGCAGGAGGCCCUCGUGAAGGAGCGGGAGAAGCAGCUGGCCAAGAAGGAGCAGUCAAAGGAGCUCCAGCUGAAACUGGAGAAGCUGCGAGAGAAGGCCCGCAAGAAGGAGGCCGAGCGAAAGAUCUCCAGCCUGUCCUUCACCCUGGAGGAAGAGUGGGAGGCAGGCGAGGAGGGGGACGAGGCGGCCCUGUACGAGGAGGAGCUGGAGAGGGAAGAGAUCACCACAAAGAAGAGGAAAUUGGGGAAGAACCCAGAUGUGGACACGAGCUUCUUGCCUGACCGAGACCGUGAGGAGGAGGAGAAUCGGCUCCGGGAAGAGCUGCGCCAAGAGUGGGAAGCCAAGCAGGAGAAGAUCAAGAGUGAGGAGAUUGAAAUCACCUUCAGUUACUGGGAUGGUUCUGGGCACCGGCGGACAGUCAAGAUGAAAAAGGGUAACACGAUGCAGCAUUUCCUGCAGAAAGCACUUGAGAUCCUGCGCAAAGACUUCAGUGAGCUCAGGUCAGCAGGGGUGGAGCAGCUCAUGUACAUCAAGGAGGACCUAAUCAUACCCCACCACCACAGCUUCUAUGACUUCAUUGUUACCAAGGCGCGGGGGAAGAGCGGGCCACUCUUUAAUUUUGAUGUUCAUGAUGAUGUGCGGCUGCUCAGUGACGCCACGGUGGAGAAGGACGAGUCGCACGCGGGCAAGGUGGUGCUGAGGAGCUGGUAUGAGAAGAACAAGCACAUCUUCCCUGCCAGUCGCUGGGAGCCCUACGACCCGGAGAAGAAGUGGGACAAGUACACGAUCCGGUGAGUGCAGGCUGGCUGCGCCGCCCCAGCUCCUUGGCUCCAGCCCAGCCCGUCCCUGCAUUUCCAGCCUCCGGCCACGAGCUUUCCUGUCUGAUGUUGCCGUUCAGAGAUGUUCCAGGAACCCUGAAGAGGGAAUCAUCUGACCUUCUGCAUCGACCCCUGCCACCCUCUUUGAGAAGCCACCAGAACAGCAGGGUUUUCCCGGGGAAGCCCAGGAGCCCCUCUCAGCCAGCAAGGGGCCAGAAAGGCUGCACCAGGGCUGGGAGUCCAAGGGAGGAGCACCUUGUCCUAAGUAAGGGCUGUGGUGGCGGGCUGGCAGCUGAGCUGGAAGAAGGUCAGCAGAGCAAGCUUCUUGCAGAAGGUCCGCUUGGCCACCAGUGCCGGGUGGCCUCAGGCACCCAUGUUCCUGCCUGCUGCCAUAGGCCGCGCUCCUGCCAGAAGGGAGCUGUCCAGGCCUACGAGCCCUCUCCCUGGGAUGCUGGAUCCACGUGAGUGAGGAGCUCAGAGGAGAGGUUGGGGAGCUGCUGGGACCUUGAUUAUGAUGAUGCUCGAGAACUUCACAGGGCCGCUGAGAUCACUGAGUGGUUGCCAGUAUUUCCAGGGACCAGUGUGGGCUAGGGGUAGGCUAGGCACCAAAGAUCCAAUGGAGAGGGGAAAGCUGGCCCUACGUUGCUCACCCAGGCUUCGUUCCUGGUGUGUGUCUGGCUGGGGGCUGGGGGGCGGUGGCUAUGCCCGUGUGCGGAUAUAAACAAAUGGGGAAACAGGACAUGAGCGAGCAGGCUGAAGUGGAGGGGGGGUGUUCCAGGCAGAGGGAGCAGCAGGUUUGAAGACACUAGUGGACAGGUUGGAGGUGAGCAGGGCUGGAUGGAGGGAAGGAGAGGGAGAGAGGAAAGAUCACAGAAGUAGGGCCUGGGAGGUGCGUAGGAGGAGUGGAUGCUGAUCUUUUCAUGUUUACCUGUAACUGUUCUGUAGAGGCCAAGUCUUCACCUGGUUCACACAUUAGCACAAAAGGGCAGACGUAGAGAUGCCUCACCUGUCCAGCCCUUGUCACUUAACAAUAUGUUGGAAUAUCCUGCAUGGCUCUCCACAUCCGUGCAUGUAGAGCCUCCUCAUUCUUUUUUAAGCAGCAUAAUUCUCCAGAUACUGGCAAUUUCCUCACCUAGGGCCUGUCCCAUUUUACAGCCCCACCAGCAGGUGAGAGUCCUGGCUCCCCUGUGCCUCACCCACAGGACACUGCCACUCACUGGUCAGGGAACAUAUGCAACCUGGGAUGGGACAUGUGGUCACUCAUGGCAUUUAGUGCACUCAUGAUGUCGGGCGGCCAUCACCUCUGCGUAUUCCCAGAACAUCCUCGUCACCUCAAAGAGAGGCCCUGUGCCCCACCCCUGCAGCUCCUAUAGGGGAAGGUUCACAUAAAUGUAAUCAUAUAAUUAAAGAGGAUGACUGUAUUAGGUUUGUAUUGCCAUGUAACAAAGUAAUGAAAACUCAGUAGCUUAAAACAAUACCCAUUUAUUAUUUAUUUAUAUUAAAAAAAAUUUUUUUAUUAA